rnacentral:rRNA from 1 species
UACGUAGGGGGCAAGCGUUGUCCGGAUUUACUGGGCGUAAAGAGCGUGUAGGCGGCCACGCAGGUCCGUUGUGAAAACUGGAGGCUCAACCUCCAGCUGUCGACGGAAACCGUAUGGCUAGAGUCCGGAAGAGGAGAGUGGAAUUCCUGGUGUAGCGGUGAAAUGCGCAGAUAUCAGGAAGAACACCAAUGGCGAAGGCAGCUCCCUGGGACGGUACUGACGCUGAGACGCGAAAGCGUGGGGAGCGAACAGG